GAUAAGCAUGUUUGCCUGCGUGCUUGAUAAGCGUUAGCGUAUAGGCUGUGUGUAGGAAGUCUUCAUUUCUUGCUGGUGUUUUCGGGCAAAAGUUUGGGUGGUUAAGUUUAUGCGGUGUUAUGACAAGAUGAAAUCUUCCAGAAUAAUUUUUAUUGCUUGGCUGCUUGCGUGCCUUUCUGAUCAAUCAGUUGGUUACCCAGAUGGAAGAGUAUCCGAAUCCUGUGACUCCAUGUUGCCUUUUCACGGAGGGUCACCUCAGGAAUUUCCCAAGCAUACCAUUGAAGUCAAUGUGACAGAAUUUAAGCCAGGAGAUCGUGUGAAAGUUAGUUUUUCUGGCCCUGCAUUUGAAGGCUUUUUGCUACAAGCUCGUAAUGCUGACCGCUUGGAAGACCCGCCCAUUGGUUCUUUUGCAUUAGCUGAUCGGAAACGGUCUCAGCUCCUGAAAUGUGGACAUGUAAAGAAUUCAGCUGUUAGUCACACCAGUGACUCUAAGAAAAACCAUAUGGAUGCUUAUUGGAUUGCUCCUAGAGAUGCACCAAAGAAUGUACAAUUUCUACUCACAGUUGUACAAAAAUUCAUUAUCUAUUGGGUAAAAAUUCCUGGUCCUAAGAUUUCUCAACCUAGUAUGGUUCCUUUGACAACAAUGUUUACGGAUUGGACUAUUCCAACAUCCUUGCCUGUCUCUUCCAUAAGCCAGCCAUUCAACUCUUCAGACUGUGGAGAUCGCAAAUUCUGUGUGAGAAAUCCAACACACUGUGAUCCUAAAUCCAACAAUUGCUUCUUUCUCUCCUUCAAGCAAGAUAAUGACUCCGUGUGGAUUGAAAUGAGUGGUCCCAGUGAAGGCUAUAUUGCAUUUGCAUUAUCUCAUGAUCAGUGGAUGGGUGGUGGUGAUGAUGCAUAUCUUUGCAUUAGUAAAGUUCAUCAUGCUGUCAUCAGGACAGCUUUCCUGGUUGGGCGAUCUUAUCCAGAAUUUGACUCGAAGAGUGCUUUGGAGAAUAUAUCUUGGAGACUGGCUGACGACCUUAUCCAGUGUUCUUUCAGAAGAAGAAUUCACCUUCCAGCUUCUACGGGAAGAUACAAUCUGGAUGCAAGCUAUUACAUAUUUCUGGCUGAUGGUGAAAUCAGUACAGGAGGUGCAAUCUACAAACACCACCAACAGCCUCUGAUUACAAACAGAAAAUACAACAUUCUAAGUCCAUUAAAAGAUAUUGGAGGAUCCCGCUCUCCAUUCCUGAUCAAAAUCCAUGGUGCAUUAAUGUUUAUUGGAUGGAUAACUACAGUUAGCAUAGGGGUGAUCGUUGCCCGGUUUUUCAAGCCUGUCUGGACUAAUACUCUACUGUUUGGAGAAGAGAUUUGGUUUCAGAUCCAUCGUUCCUUAAUGAUAAUAACAAUAUUGCUCACAAGCAUAUCUUUUGUUCUUCCUUUUAUAUAUCGAGGAGGCUGGAAUAAACAAGCAGGUUUUCACCCCUAUUUUGGCAGCACUGUGAUGGCUCUGGCACUUUUUCAGUCUCUUAUAGCAGCGUUCAGACCCCCUCUACAAGCACCAAGAAGGCAGAUUUUCAACUGGUUACAUUGGAGUGCCGGCACAACUGCUAGAAUAUUAGCUGGUGAGUUUCCUAUUUUAACUCUUCCGUGUACAGCUGCAUGUCACAUAAGAGGAAAAAGCCACUUUUCUGCUCUCUGCUGACUGCUUGAAAUUCCUCUAAUGCAAUUUGUUGCUUUCCAGAUGUGUUGGACCACUCUCUGACUAUUCUCCAUUCAGCAUAAUCUCAGAAUUCAGGGAGUUGCAUUUAACAUAUCUAGUAGGCACCGGUUUGCAAAAUGCUACUGUGGCAUAUGGGAUUUCGCUCUACUGGUUAUAAUCCCAACUACAGCUAUAAAAGUUCCGUCUAGUACAGUAGUGCAUUUAGAUCAUUUAAAGAAUGGGAAGCUAGCAACCUGCAAAAUAAAACUGCCUGGUAUAAUCUUUAUUUACUGCAGUGAUUCUGGGCCUCACAUAUACUUUAAAGAUAUUCUCAGAAAAUAAAAACAGCAGAGGACUGGAACUCAGUGUCUGAGCAGAAAUUAGGGUUCAGCUCACGGAAAUAAAUCUGCCCAAAUGCUUCAAUCGAAGAGAGAAGCCAAAGAAGCAGAGCAUCCUGGUAAAUGGGAUGGUGGGAGCCAGUUUUGUGAGAAUGCCCACAAACGCUCCCGAGAUUUUAUGUGGAGUAGAUGGUAAAAAAACGUUGGGAUUCUCUGAUUUAAAGGCUCUGCAGCACUGCCUAUUGAAGUGGAGAGGAUGUAAAGUUCCCCCAGGGAAACAAGCAUGCCCCAAUGCUCCCUAAUUCCAUCUCUGCAAAAGAUUUGAAUGAACGUUUUGGUGCACAGUACUUUUUGAAUGCCUCAGAAAGGAAUCUAAAUUUGGUCUUGUUCUUAACUAGUGGUAACAAUAUUCCUGGGAAUGGACUUGGCAGCUCUCGACCUUCCUCCAUGGGAUACUUACGUAAUGAUUGGAUUUGUAGCUUGGCAUGUUGGGAUUGAUAUGCUUCUGGAGUUACACGGCUACUGCCUCAU